UACGUAGGGUGCGAGCGUUGUCCGGAAUUAUUUGGGCGUAAAAGAGCUCGUAGGCGGCCUGUCGCGUCGGAUGUGAAAGCCCGGGGCUUAACCCCGGGUCUGCAUUCGAUACGGGCAGGCUAGAGUUCGGUAGGGGAGAUCGGAAUUCCUGGUGUAGCGGUGAAAUGCGCAGAUAUCAGGAGGAACACCGGUGGCGAAGGCGGAUCUCUGGGCCGAUACUGACGCUGAGGAGCGAAAGCGUGGGGAGCGAACAGG
rnacentral:rRNA from 1 species